AUGUCAGCUGGUGGAACAAUCAUGAACAAGACUGUCGAGGGUGCAAUUAUUCUCAUUGAGAGCAUUGCCUUCCACCAAAUGCAAUGGGGUUAUGAAAGGCCUAGUUCAAAUCCGAAGGUUGCAAGCCUCGUGCAAUCAGAAGUUGUGUGUUCCAUAAGUGAACAGAAAUCAUCCAUGGUGCCUAAUAUUCAAAACCAGCAUGUUUCAUUCUGGGGACAACAACAUUUCAGAACUGAAUUAGAUCCUCCAUAUAGAAAGAUUGAUCUUACUUCAAUUAUCCUUGAUGAUGAUUAUGAUAUUUUUCAAGAUGAUGAAACUACUGUAGAUCAGAUGGAAACCACAAUAGCAGAUCCAACACCUCAUGGCAAUGAAACUGUCCAGAAUGAGUCAAAGUUGCAAGAAGAUGUUUAUGAGGAACCUACUCUGAUUGAUGCUAAGUUGAGACAGCAAGAUAUGGAGAAAUUCACUUGUGUUAGUCAACUAUGUGACUGGUGGAAUUUAGUCGUGUCACCAAUUGCCCACACUUGUGUUACAAUGGUAUCUGGGCUAUUUGUCAAGAAGAAAUCAUUAGCUCCACCGGUGGUUGCCUCUAUCACAGUUAAAGAGAGUAUCUCAGAGAAGAAUAGUGAAGAUGAGAUUCCAACUCCUGCACAUACAACUAAGCAAGUCGGAGACAUUCCAAGGAGAGAGAUACAAGAGGUUGAGUCAAAUUUAGAAGAGUUGAUACUUCAAUAUCCUGAGAAGAUCCCACGUGUUGCUGAGCUGCAUGACUGGUGGAAGUCAUCAGUGUCACUAUUGAAACUUAGCAGUGAUGGUGAUGAGGAGAACAUUGCUCAGAAAGACAGCGAGGUAGUGAUCUUAGCACCCCUACCAGAUCAUGUUAGUGAAUAUUCAGAGAUGGGGAUACUUCAGACUCAAUUAAGUGUUGCUGGUAGUAGCACCAUAGAAGAUCCAGAGGAAGAGCGUCCUCAACUUGAAGAAGAUUUACAAGAAGACAAGGAACAAGAUGAUCAAGAGCUGCAAUUCCCAAGUGAUCAAGUUGAAGACUCAUCAUCUACUACUCCUGAAGAAGUACAAGAAGCUGCCGUAGAUGAAGAUGAAGAACAUGAGAUUCAUUUGCCUAUUGUCAUACCAGAGCAUGAUGUGUCAGGUUUACCCAAUCCUCUUGAUGACAUGCAUCCUUAUGAUUCCUUUGCUUCUACCUUGCAUUGCAUGAUGCCAUCUGUUAAAGUAGAUUUGAAAAAGUAUUUGUUUGGAUAUGAUCAUAUAUACCCUGUUAGUGGCAUUACUCACAUUAAUGAUGAUCACAGUUACUUUCCUCGUGCUAGACCUAUGCUUAAUGAAACAUAUCAUUCUUAUGCUAGUCUUGAGCUUAAUGAAAAAUAUCAUCCUCAUGUUAGUGUUGACUUUGCUGAUUUCUACCAUCCUAAACAUGUGCUUUAUAGCUAUGCUUAUGUAAUUGGAUAUUCGAUUGAUGACUUGGAGGGUAUUAUUCCUACCACUUGCAUUGUCUCUUUCGUUGAGUGCUCUUUCAGGUUCUUGCUUGUGCACGAAUCACUACAUGCUGACCAAGUUCGAGAUGACAUUCCCUGGGAUCCCGGUGGACCCAUGGCAUGGGGAUGA
rnacentral:rRNA from 1 species